AUUGAACGCUGGCGGAAUGCUUUACACAUGCAAGUCGAACGGCAGCACGGACUUCGGUCUGGUGGCGAGUGGCGAACGGGUGAGUAAUAUAUCGGAACGUGCCCAGUCGUGGGGGAUAACGUAGUGAAAAUUACGCUAAUACCGCAUACGAUCUACGGAUGAAAGCGGGGGAUCGCAAGACCUCGCGCGAUUGGAGCGGCCGAUAUCAGAUUAGGUAGUUGGUGGGGUAAAGGCUCACCAAGCCAACGAUCUGUAGCUGGUCUGAGAGGACGACCAGCCACACUGGGACUGAGACACGGCCCAGACUCCUACGGGAGGCAGCAGUGGGGAAUUUUGGACAAUGGACGCAGGUCUGAUCCAGCCAUGCCGCGUGCGGGAAGAAGGCCUUCGGGUUGUAAACCGCUUUUGUCAGGGAAGAAACGCUCUGGGUUAAUACCUCGGGGUAAUGACGGUACCUGAAGAAUAAGCACCGGCUAACUACGUGCCAGCCGCCGCGGUAA
rnacentral:rRNA from 1 species